rnacentral:snoRNA from 1 species
CCUUGCGAGUGAUGACCUAGCAUUAUUAUACAGUUAUCCCUGUCUGAAAUGUCUUUUUCAAGAGCUAUUGUGUGGAUAUCGCCUAACUUCUGACCCUGCA